rnacentral:rRNA from 1 species
UACGUAGGGUGCAAGCGUUAAUCGGAAUUACUGGGCGUAAAGCGUGCGCAGGCGGUUAUAUAAGACAGAUGUGAAAUCCCCGGGCUCAACCUGGGAACUGCAUUUGUGACUGUAUAGCUAGAGUACGGUAGAGGGGGAUGGAAUUCCGCGUGUAGCAGUGAAAUGCGUAGAUAUCUGGAGGAACACCGGUGGCGAAGGCGGCAUCCUGGACCAAUACUGACGCUGAGGAGCGAAAGCCAGGGGAGCAAACGGG